rnacentral:tRNA from 1 species
GGGGGUGUAGCACAAAUGGUGAGUGCGUUGGCUUGUCACGCCAAAGGUUGCUGGUUCAAGUCCUGUCACUCCC